GAUGAACGCUGACGGCGUGCUUAACACAUGCAAGUCGAACGGGAUCCAUCAGGCUUUGCUUGGUGGUGAGAGUGGCGAACGGGUGAGUAAUGCGUGACCGACCUGCCCCAUACACCGGAAUAGCUCCUGGAAACGGGUGGUAAUGCCGGAUGCUCCGACUCCUCGCAUGGGGUGUCGGGAAAGAUUUCAUCGGUAUGGGAUGGGGUCGCGUCCUAUCGGGUAGUCGGCGGGGUAACGGCCCACCGAGCCUACGACGGGUAGCCGGCCUGAGAGGGCGACCGGCCACAUUGGGACUGAGAUACGGCCCAGACUCCUACGGGAGGCAGCAGUGGGGAAUAUUGCACAAUGGGCGCAAGCCUGAUGCAGCGACGCCGCGUGCGGGAUGACGGCCUUCGGGUUGUAAACCGCUUUUGAUCGGGAGCAAGCCUUCGGGUGAGUGUACCUUUCGAAUAAGCACCGGCUAACUACGUGCCAGCAGCCGCGGUAAUACGUAGGGUGCAAGCGUUAUCCGGAAUUAUUGGGCGUAAAGGGCUCGUAGGCGGUUCGUCGCGUCCGGUGUGAAAGUCCAUCGCUUAACGGUGGAUCUGCGCCGGGUACGGGCGGGCUGGAGUGCGGUAGGGGAGACUGGAAUUCCCGGUGUAACGGUGGAAUGUGUAGAUAUCGGGAAGAACACCAAUGGCGAAGGCAGGUCUCUGGGCCGUUACUGACGCUGAGGAGCGAAAGCGUGGGGAGCGAACAGGAUUAGAUACCCUGGUAGUCCACGCCGUAAACGGUGGAUGCUGGAUGUGGGGCCCGUUCCACGGGUUCCGUGUCGGAGCUAACGCGUUAAGCAUCCCGCCUGGGGAGUACGGCCGCAAGGCUAAAACUCAAAGAAAUUGACGGGGGCCCGCACAAGCGGCGGAGCAUGCGGAUUAAUUCGAUGCAACGCGAAGAACCUUACCUGGGCUUGACAUGUUCCCGACAGCCGUAGAGAUAUGGCCUCCCUUCGGGGCGGGUUCACAGGUGGUGCAUGGUCGUCGUCAGCUCGUGUCGUGAGAUGUUGGGUUAAGUCCCGCAACGAGCGCAACCCUCGCCCUGUGUUGCCAGCACGUCAUGGUGGGAACUCACGGGGGACCGCCGGGGUCAACUCGGAGGAAGGUGGGGAUGACGUCAGAUCAUCAUGCCCCUUACGUCCAGGGCUUCACGCAUGCUACAAUGGCCGGUACAACGGGAUGCGACACGGCGACGUGGAGCGGAUCCCUGAAAACCGGUCUCAGUUCGGAUUGGAGUCUGCAAACCCGACUCCAUGAAGGCGGAGUCGCUAGUAAUCGCGGAAUCAGCAAACGCCGCGGUGAAAUGCGUUCCCGGGCCCU
rnacentral:rRNA from 1 species